rnacentral:rRNA from 1 species
AUUGAACGCUGGCGGCAGGCCUAACACAUGCAAGUCGAGCGGAUGAAGGGAGCUUGCUCCUGGAUUCAGCGGCGGACGGGUGAGUAAUGCCUAGGAAUCUGCCUGGUAGUGGGGGAUAACGUCCGGAAACGGGCGCUAAUACCGCAUACGUCCUGAGGGAGAAAGAGGGGGAUCUUCGGACCUCACGCUAUCAGAUGAGCCUAGGUCGGAUUAGCUAGUUGGUGGGGUAAAGGCCUACCAAGGCGACGAUCCGUAACUGGUCUGAGAGGAUGAUCAGUCACAUUGGAACUGGGAAACGGUCCAGACCCCUACGGGAGGAAGAGGUGGGGAACAUUGGACAAUGGGCGAAAGCCUGAUGCAGCCAUGCGGGGUGUGUGAAGAAGGUCUUCGGAUUGUAAAGCACUUUAAGUUGGGAGGAAGGGCAGUAAGUUAAUACCUUGCUGUUUUGACGUUACCAACAGAAUAAGCACCGGCUAACUUCGUG